AGUGAACGCUGGCGGUAGGCCUAACACAUGCAAGUCGAACGGCGGCACAGUAAGAGCUUGCUCUUACGGGUGGCGAGUGGCGGACGGGUGAGGAAUACAUCGGAAUCUACUUUUUCGUGGGGGAUAACGUAGGGAAACUUACGCUAAUACCGCAUACGACCUACGGGUGAAAGCAGGGGACCUUCGGACCUUGCGCGAUUGAAUGAGCCGAUGUCGGAUUAGCUAGUUGGCGGGGUAAAGGCCCACCAAGGCGACGAUCCGUAGCUGGUCUGAGAGGAUGAUCAGCCACACUGGAACUGAGACACGGUCCAGACUCCUACGGGAGGCAGCAGUGGGGAAUAUUGGACAAUGGGCGCAAGCCUGAUCCAGCCAUACCGCGUGGGUGAAGAAGGCCUUCGGGUUGUAAAGCCCUUUUGUUGGGAAAGAAAAGCAGCAGGUUAAUACCCCGCUGUUCUGACGGUACCCAAAGAAUAAGCACCGGCUAACUUCGUG
rnacentral:rRNA from 1 species